GACUUAUCUGAAGGUAAUGAGUUAUCUUGAUUGUUCACAGUCACUUACAAAUCAAACUCCUUGCUCUACUCUUCCUCCCCUUCUCACUACUGCACUUGACUAGUCUUAA
ensembl:misc_RNA Y_RNA Y RNA